UUAUUUGUAGUAUUAUCAUUAUAAUCACUACAAAUGAAAAAAAAUUUGACUACUUGAAACUAAUUGAAAAGAACCCUAAUUAUGAGGAAUAAUCGAAUAUUAAAUUUAUAUUUAGAAUUUCUCAAGGCUGAGUUUGUUUAUACUAGGAUAAUAAGGACAGGGCUGACAGGUUAACUGAUAAUCAUACGGAAAUCAUCUUCAUUAGAGCUGACCUAAAUGAUCCAGGACACACAUAUCUUAAGCUUUCGUUGCCAGAUUGGAUAUAUCUAUUAGCAGAAAAAGUAGCCUCCUCCUUAUGUAGAGAAGAAAAUCAUGUGGUUGUAUUCUGUAAAAACUUUGACCUCCAGCCAUUAUUUUUACACAAUUGUAGCUCAUAUUACAACGAAAUAAUGAUCCAGUAGUCCAAGAACAAUCUUUUUCUUAGUUACCUUCAUUUCAGAUUUCUGCUACAUCAUUAUCUUUGAUACAUAAAUUACAAGCUGAAAAUGUUAGAAACUAUGCCCUUGCCACCACCAAGAUGCAUCAAGAAACAGCUUAUUGUCUUCAGCUCUUCCAACAACUCUUUUAGUGAUUUGAAUGCUCAAAAAUGAUAAUAGACAUAAAGCAGUUGUUUUUACCAAAAAAAACGUAAAGUAGCUAACAGAGCAGACUUCCCUAGAAGAUAUCUCCUUGCUACUGCUGCCUGUCAAAGAUUAAAUCUAGGAUCCUAUUCAAAAUCAUCCAGUGUAUUUUCAAAAUGAAUUUAGUUCCUAUUAAACACAUACGAUAAUUCCAAAGUCCUAGAAGCACCAACUCUAAUAAAGAUGUUUUCCUCUUCUUCACAGAACUUUUUAGAUAAAAAUCCGCAUCACAAGAAUUGUGAAAUGCCUCAACAGUUCCUGUCCAAAAGAUGUUAUGAGCGAGGAUUUCUCUGUUUUAAAAGAAGACUAAUUAGAUUAAAAUUAUUUAUAUUUUCAACAUUUUAUUGUUACGAGUUGUCUUCUAGAACUGAAGAAGUCUUCACUCUAAGCGCCUGGAAAGUCAAUUCAAUUAUAAAUUAUAACAUUCUUAUCUUUGUUGAAACGUGACUGACUCACAAGGCCAAUUUUAGCUUCUCACGAUUCAUAGAGUUCAGAAAGGACAGAACUAAUUUAAAAGGUGGUGAAAUUCUAAUUCUCAUCUA